rnacentral:lncRNA from 1 species
CUUCCUCCUUGUGCCCCGAAGGCCAGCCCGGCACUCAGAAGCUUUGGAGUCUCCCAAAAUGCCUGCUGGGUCUCUGCAGGACUGGCACCUGUCACCGGAACCUGUCUGGGAGGGACGAGAACACGCUUUGCAAGAGGAAGCUCUGCCUCACAGAGCCCUGGGCUCACUCAGGGACCCUGGCCAGCAGCUGCUUCCUCUCCCCACAGCGGAGAGAGACCCAAGGGUCCCAGGGCGGAUGCUUCCCACCAGGCCAGCCCAGCGUGCAGGGUGGCCUCGUAAGUCCUGAUUGACAUAUGGACAGUGGUUCAGAGAGGUUACGCUACUUGCUCAAGGUCACCCAGCUCCCAGGCCCCUGCUGUCUUCCAGGCCACUGAGGUCCUAAGCGUCCUUCCAGGCGAGCCACUGCUCACAGCCUGUUCCUCAUGUUCUGCGGCAGGUUUGUGUAUCUACAUCUUUUCCAGUUCCCUGUCGUCCCCCUUCCUACACCUCGUCAUCCACUAUCCCUGUUUGUUUUCUCUGUUCCUUUCUAGUUCUCUACCUGCUCCUCUUAUUUUUAUUUGAGACAGGGUCUUUCUUUGUCACUGAGGCUGGAGUGCAGUGGCACAAUCCCAGCUCACUGGAGCCUCGACCUCCCAGGCUCAAGUGAUCCCCCGCCUCAGCCUCUUGAGUAGCUGGGACCACAGGCAUGCAUCACCACACCAGGCUAAUUUUUUAUUUUUUGUAGAGAUGGGGUCUCACUGUGUUGCCCAGGCUGGUCUUGCACUCCUGGGCUCAAGAGAUCCUCCCACCUUGGUCUCCCAAAGUGCUGGGAUGCCAGGUGUGCACCGCCAUCCUCGGCCUUACUCUUCUCUUCCUCUCUCAGCCCCUCUGCCUCACUAUCCCUCUUUCUGUGCCCUCCCCCACACAGCCCCCCACACUUCUUCUUAGUCUCAUCUUCAGCUUCCCAUACGAGGCCAUCCUCAUGAAAUCAGGCACUGGGAGGUCCCUGGGGACUGACAAGUGCCAGCUGUCCCUUGCUGUCUCUCUGCCCCAUGGCUGCAGCAGGGAGGGUGGGCAAAGGGCAGAGGUGACAGUGGCCAAACCUGAAACUGAGGCCCAGCUCUGGUUGGGAAAGAAACAAGGAAACAAAAUAACUUGGGGACAGAGGGCGUGGGGUCAUCAGAGCGGGCAAAGGCUGCCCAGGAGUUGUAAAUCCGAGCCGCUCCCGGCUUUAUGAGGCCGAUUUGGGGUUGAGCCUGGACUUUGCCCAGGAAGGAGUGCUGGCAGCACACGGGGCGCCAGGUGUGGGCCCCGGAUGAUAAGAAGCCUCGGUGAAAAGACCAUGGACCUGGGGCCACGAAGACUGGGGAGCCCAGGUGAGUGGGCAUGGGACACUCUCCAGAGCCCUGCCGAAGGCGGACGCCAGGCAGGGCCCCGGUCUCCAAUUGGUUCCCGCCCCCUGUAACAGCAACUCCAUGUGGAAGUGCCCACUGGUUCCAGUGGGGCUGCUGUUAUCUGGGGCGAGGGCCAGUACCCACGAAGAAGGAGAGGCAGGUGCUGGCCAGCAGACCAGCCAGGACUACCGUGGCGACGCUCCCAGGCCAGAUGGUGGCGGGUAGUGGAGGGCUGUCGGUGGGCUGCCGAGACCGAGUGCACAGGGCUCUGACCUAUGAAUUGACAGCCAGUGCUCUCGUCUCCCCUCUGGCUGCCAAUUCCAUAGGUCACAGGUAUGUUCGCCUCAAUGCCAGCCACCAGGACCUGCAGGGAUAGGGGAGGGCCGGGGGUGUCCAGCAGUCAGCAGAGAUCCUGCGACCCCAGUGCAGCACUCAUGGUCCCACCUCCCUCUGUCUCAUUCCCCGUGAAUGAGCCUGAACAGCUUCAGUCCUGCCCCUGCCCUGCCUGCCCUGUGGCACCUCUAUGCUUUGCCCAUGCUGUUCCCUUGGGCUGCAAUACUCUUCCUAGCUUAUUUGCCAGGCUCACUCUUACUAACCCUUUCAAGCUCUGUCCAAGCAUUUGCUGCCUCCAGAAGGCCUUAUUGAAGCUUCUAAGUCCCCACCUGGGCACCCCCACACAGUGCUGCCGCAGAGCACUGCCCUCUCGGAGCCCCGGUGCUGGUUUCUGCUUAUGUCUCGCUCCUCUCCCCAUCUGUGAGCUCAGUUCCCAGCCCAGGCGCGUGCCCAAUAAAUGUUUGCUGAACCAAUCCUGAGCCUCUGUCUUGCACCCUGAGGAAGCACCCACCGACAUGCAGUGUGGCCAAGGGGGGCUGAGUGCUCUAGGCCCAGUGUUUGUGCUGGAGCCCCCCCACCCAGGAUGGGGCCCUGAGCCAGCCUCCCCAUCUGCUUCCUACUCUCCCCUCCUUUGCCAGUCUCAUCUCCCUGGAGCACAGCCCUGUGGUUGGUGGAGCAGCUUCUCCAGCCCCUAGGAUUCCUAAGAGGGCCCAGGACCCCAGCUGCUGGUAGAGGAAGAGCAGCCAACCCAGGACAGGACAGCUGACCCCACCCCUGUCCCGCCUCCCACAACAGCCUCAUUUCCACCUAUUUCUUUGUGGUGUUUGUUUGUUUGUUUUGAGACAGAGUCUUGCUCUGUUGCCCAGGCUGGAAUGCAACAGGCUUCCUCCCAGGAGGAAGCCUCCCCUCCUGGCAUGAUCUCAGCUCACUGCAACCUCUGCCUCCUGGGUUCAAGCGAUUCUCCUGCCUCAGCCUCCCAAAUAGCUGAGAUUACAGGCAUGCACCACCAUGCCCAGCUAAUUUUUGUGUUUUUAGUAGAGACUGGGUUUCACCAUGUUGGCCAGGCUGGUCUCGAACUCCUGACCUCAGAUAAUCUGCCCACCUCGGCCUCCCAGAGUGCCGGGAUUAUAGGUGUGAGCCACCGCGCCCAGCCCCACCUGUUUCUUAUACAACGGGGUUCUGAGGAAAUUUUCCUUUUUUUUUUUUUUUUUUUUUGAGACAGGGUCUUGCUCGCUUUGUCACCCAGGCUGGAGCGCAGUGGUACAAUCACAGCUUGCUGCAGCCUCCACCUGCCAGGGCUCACACAGUCCUCCCAUCUCAGCCUCCCAAAUAGCUGUGACUACAGGCACGUGCCACCAUGCCUGGUUAAUUUUUGUAUUUUUCGUAGAGAUGGGGUUUCACCAUGUUGCCCAGGCUGGUCUCAAAUUCCUGGCCUCAAGCAGUCCUGCCUCAGCCCCCCAAACUGCUGGGAUUACAGGCAUGAGCCACUGUGCCCUGUCAGAAUUUUUCAUUUGAAUAAAAAGGUUUCUGGUACUACAAAAUAAAAUUUGUAAAAUGGGAAAUAGAGACCUAGGAAUAAAUGUCAAAUUGCUUAAUAACAGGCGUUGGCUAUUGAGCCCUUUCUGUCUGCUGGGCACGCACAUCCAGGACCUGGUCCUCCUGGCAUCCAUCAUGAACCUGUUUGGGACAGGAGGACACAGGCUCAGAGAGGGUGCACAUUUGCUGAAGUCACAGAGCAAGUUGGACCUUCUCCUGGGGACUGUAGGCAGCCAACAAACAUCUGGCCCCUAAGACACUGUCUCUCUCCCCUUCCCACAGGCAGCUCUGCUCACACUGUCCUGGCUGCUCUGAAUCCCUGGGCCCCGAUUGGCCCCUGCCGUGGCCCAGCUCAGCAACCCCUCCCUGCAGACCAUCCCAUGACUCUGCAGGCGCUGCUCCCCUCUCUGCCCACACCCCGGCUUCGUGGGCCUCUCCCGCCACCCUUAUCUCAUUCCCUACAGAGUUAAGGAGCCCUGUGUGCUUAUCUAAUCCUGUGCUAGUUUCAGACUCCUUGAGGGCAAGGUCCAUGACUUACUCAUCCUCCCUGGCUGCUUCCCCCACCCACCAGCAUAGUAGGUGUUCAGGAUACAUGGGCUGGAUGGUAGGGCCCUGGACUCUAACCCUCUUGGGGCUGUCAGGCCUCAGACUCAGAGCACUGGCAUAGGGUGAAAGGGGAGCAGACAGCAGCCACCCUGCCCUGGGGGUCCUCCUGCAUCUGCCUCUGCAGAGCACUGCGAUCCCACAAAGGCCUGCGAGGGCUAUUGGAGACCUGUUCCAAUGCAUGAGCAAGGCGGAUCCAGCACCCUCCCCCAGCUCCUUGAGCCCACUGACCUGUGUCCUUUACCCAGCAGGCCCUGGGCCCAUGCACAUUUCCCUGGCCUGGGUCUCACCUCCAACCCCUCUCAGAACUCCUCAAGACCUGCCCAAGGGUCACUCCCUCGCGGACACCUGCCUGGCCCCCCGCCCCGCCCCCCAUUACCCCACUCACUGGCUCCCUGGAUGCUCUGUGGCUGGGAUGUUAGCGCCCCCAUCAUGCCCCAUCACCCACACCGGGCUAUUUCCCCCACCAGCCUGAAAGCCCCCAGGAGUGGCGGCCACUGACUUUUUUCCUGUAGCCUCAGACUCAAAGGAGGCACUUAAUAAAUGCACACAGAAGGACUGACCUUGUGCAUGAGCAAAGUUGCUUAGGGAGGGAGCCUAGACACAGUGGGGCGGUCAGCACAGAGCUGGCGGUGGGAGGCCUCAGUAGUAUUGUCUUUGUCCCAUCGUCCACACCACACGUGUGUGAAACGCUACGCUGACAGAGGCCCUGAGAGGUUGUGCAGAUUGACCGUACGCCAGCCUCAGAGAGAGAAGGCCCAGGCGGGGAGGAGUAAAGCCUCCCUGGGAGAGGUGAGUGUGAGGUCGGCGUUUGCUGAGGUGAACCCCAGAAACAGGUCGUGAUCACUGGAGGAGGAAGGAAUGCCAGGGGCAAAGAUGCAGAAACCGGACGGAGGCGCGGGGCGGGCGGGGACAGCUUCCUCUUCUGCAAGGCUUACUCCCGGUGGCCACCACUAGGGGGCGCCCCGGGCACCCCUCCCAAGCGGGGCGGGGCCAACCCUCCCCACCGCGCGGCUCCCAAGGCCUGGGGGAGCAGCCCCUGGGUUCGCCUUCCCCGGGCCGCCUAGAACUGCGCCUGGCCUGGCCAGGACACUGUCCUGGGCCUAGGGCACAGCCCAGGUGCCAGCGUCCUACACACAGUUGCGGGUCCCAGGCGCGCACUGCCUUACCCAAGGUGGCCCUGGUGGGGCUCUUCCCGCUGUGGUGUGUAUAAAACAUCACUGUAUAAUGUAUAUUCAUAGAAUUCACAAUGAGUCCCCAUGUAACAACCUGCAGAGCCCCCAAAUAUGCCCUUCCAGGUCCCCCCCGCCCAUGGUCAGCACAGUUCUGAGUGUUAAGGUAAUCACUUCCUCUCCUUUCUCUGGGAUUUACUACCCCGUACACUUUCCCAAACAGUCUGCGAGCAUUUUGUCUGGCUUUCUUGUUAUUAAUGUAAAUGGAAUCACGGUGCCGUGUCUGGCUGAGUCUCAUGCAGUUGAUGGAGCCGAAGCUUCUUCACUCUUGUUCACUGCUGUAUAGUGAAGAGAACACUUGGGGUUAUUAUGAGCGCUGUUAUUAUGAGCACUGUUGGGAUUAUAAUGAGUAUUGUAAUGCACAGAUUCUACUGCAGGGUGCUUCUCCAGCAGGGGCUGUCAGGUCAUGGAGUGGUGGACCUAACACUGGACCAGGCCACAUGGUGUGCCUAAUAAAGGACAGCUGGGUACAGGCCUUUUUUUGAUUUUGUUUUUCUUUUUUUUUUUGAGACGGAGUCUCAUUCUGUUGCCCAGGAAUGCAGUGGCUUGAUCUCAGCUCACUGCAAGCUCUGCCUCCCGGGUUCAAACGAUUCUCCCGCCUCAGCCUCCCGAGUAGCGGGGAUUACAGGCACCCACCACCAU